UGAAUCAUCGAAUCUUUGAACGCACAUUGCGCCCAUUAGUAUUCUAGUGGGCAUGCCUGUUCGAGCGUCAUUUCAACCCUUAAGCCCCUGUUGCUUAGCGUUGGGAGCCUACAGCCUGCUGUAGCUCCUUAAAGGUAGUGGCGGAGUCGGUUCACACUCUAGACGUAGUAAAAUCUUUAUCUCGCCUAUGGAUGAGCCGGCGCCUUGCCGUAAAACCCCUACUCUUUCACAAGGUUGACCUCGGAUCAGGUAGGAAUACCCGCUGAACUUAAGCAUAUCAAUAAGCGGAGGAAAAGAAACCAACAGGGAUUGCCCUAGUAACGGCGAGUGAAGCGGCAACAGCUCAAAUUUGAAAUCUGGCCUUCGGGUCCGAGUUGUAAUUUGCAGAGGAUGCUUUGGGCGCGGUGCCUUCCGAGUUCCCUGGAACGGGACGCCUUAGAGGGUGAGAGCCCCGUACGGUUGGACACCAAGCCUCUGUAAAGCUCCUUCGACGAGUCGAGUAGUUUGGGAAUGCUGCUCUAAAUGGGAGGUAAAUUUCUUCUAAAGCUAAAUAUUGGCCAGAGACCGAUAGCGCACAAGUAGAGUGAUCGAAAGAUGAAAAGCACUUUGAAAAGAGGGUUAAAUAGCACGUGAAAUUGUUGAAAGGGAAGCGUUUGCGACCAGACCUUUUCCCAGCGGAUCAUCCGGUGUUCUCACCGGUGCACUUCGUUGGGUUGAGGCCAGCAUCGGUUUCCGCAGGGGGAUAAAAGCCUGGGGAACGUAGCUCCCUCGGGAGUGUUAUAGCCCCUCGCAUAAUACCCUUGCGGGGACCGAGGACCGC
rnacentral:rRNA from 1 species